UUGCACGCUGGCGGCAUGCUUUACACCUUCAAGUCGCACGGCAGCGCGGGCUUCUGCCUGGCGGCGAGUGGCGAACGGGUGAGUAAUACAUCGGAACGUUCCCAGUAGUGAGGGAUAGCUCGGCGAAAGCCGGAUUAAUACCGCAUACGACCUGAGGGUGAAAGCGGGGGAUCUUCGGACCUCGCGCUAUUGGAGCGGCCGAUGGCAGAUUAGCUAGUUGGUGGGGUAAAGGCCUACCAAGGCGACGAUCUGUAGCUGGUCUGAGAGGACGACCAGCCACACUGGGACUGAGACACGGCCCAGACUCCUACGGGAGGCAGCAGUGGGGAAUGUUGGACAAUGGGCGAAAGCCUGAUCCAGCAAUGCCGCGUGUGUGAUGAAGGCCUUCGGGUUGUAAAGCACUUUUGGCGGGAACGAAAAGGACUGUGCCAAUACCACGGUUCGAUGACGGUACCCGCAGAAUAAGCACCGGCUAACUACGUG
rnacentral:rRNA from 1 species